CUAAAGAUCUUUCCAUCCAACCAGCAAGACAGACAGUUCAAAGAAUUCAGACUGGUUGACUUCUAUUGUGGCCAGGCAGCUUGGGCCAAAGGUUGAAAGCAGAACUGAAUGUAAACUCCAGUGGAAUAAAGAUUUCAUCUGUCUUGUCUCCCCUCUGUCCUCAGCAGUGAGACAGUGACAAAUCUAUGAUGGAAGAUAUCAGAAAAUCAGACCUACUCUGAAUGAUCCAGGACAUCAUCAUGAACAAUGGUUAUUAUAUUGGACUUUAAUCCAGAUCAACUGCAACACAAACCAUUGUGAUUGUUGAAUUUUUGGCUCUGCAUUUUAUGGCUUUUCUCUCUUCAUUUUGUCCAGAUUAUCACCUCUUUCUUUCUGUCAUCAAAGACCUAUAACAAUCAUUCUCCUACUCUUUAUUUAAAAGUUUGAUAAAAUUGGAUAGUUGAGCUUUGGAGAGAUUAAUAUGAAAUACAAGGCUGUGCCUGAGAAAUAAGGGACUGUCUUGGCUAUGUAAGUGUUAAAACAUCCUUGGUGGCAUUUAUUUAACUUAAUUUAACAAUUUUUUCUGUCCCUAGUUUGUAGAGGACAAAUUAGGGGUAUUUUGGUUGCAAGCAACAGAAACUAAGGUUGGUUAUCUAAAGAGAAAAUGAGACUUUUUUGAGCCCUGUGCGGGCACUCAUAGAAUGGAAAGGAUUGUAUAUUACCAAGGACCUAUAGUUUACACAAAGAAAUUAGGUUAAAAAUAGUUUAGUACUCUGAGAACUAUAAGACAUCAUAGAUAAAAGAAAUUGAAGAUGACACAAAUAAAUGGAAAGAUAUGCCAUGCUCAUGGAUGGAAGAAUUAAUAUUGUUAAA